rnacentral:rRNA from 1 species
UACGUAGGUGGCAAGCGUUGUCCGGAUUUACUGGGCGUAAAGAGCGCGCAGGCGGUCGUGCAAGUCGCGUGUGAAAGCCCCCGGCUUAACCGGGGAGGGUCGUUGGGGACGGCGGGGCUUGAGGGCGGGAGAGGUCGGUGGAAUUCCCGGUGUAGUGGUGAAAUGCGUAGAGAUCGGGAGGAACACCUGUGGCGAAGGCGGCCGACUGGGCCGACCCUGACGCUGAGGCGCGAAGGCGUGGGGAGCGAACGGG